GACGAACGCUGGCGGCGUGCUUAACACAUGCAAGUCGAACGGAAAGGCCCUGCUUUUGCGGGGUGCUCGAGUGGCGAACGGGUGAGUAACACGUGAGUAAACUGCCCUUGACAUUGGGAUAAAAUCAGGAAAAAGGGGAUAAAACCGGAUAGGAGCUCCUGAUGCAUGGGGGGGGUAGGUAAGAUUCGGCGGUUGGGGCUGGACUCGAGGCUUAUGAGCUUGUUUGUGGGGUAGUGACGUACCAAGGCUAUGACGGGUAGCCGGCCUUGGAGGGUGACCGGCCACAUUGGGACUGCGAUACGGCCCAGACUCCUACGGGAGGCAGCAGUGGGGAAUAUUGCACAAUGGGCGGAAGCCUGAUGCAGCAACGCCGCGUGCGGGAUGACGGCCUUCGGGUUGUAAACCUCUUUCGCCUGUGACGAAGCGUGAGUGACGGUAAUGGGUAAAGAAGCACCGGCUAACUACGUG
rnacentral:rRNA from 1 species